GACUAGCUCAAAUGGUAGAGCGUUCGCUUAGCAAGCGAGAGGCAUCAGGAUCGAUGCCCGGAUGAUGCC
rnacentral:tRNA from 1 species